CGAUUAGCAGUGGGGAAUUUUCCGCAAUGGGCGAAAGCCUGACGGAGCAAUACCGCGUGAGGGAUGACGGCCCUUGGGUUGUAAACCUCUUUUAUCAAGGAGGAAGUUCUGAC
rnacentral:rRNA from 1 species